rnacentral:rRNA from 1 species
UACGAAAGGUGCAAGCGUUACUCGGAAUCACUGGGCGUAAAGCGCACGUAGGCGGCCUCGUAGGUCAAUUGUGAAAUACCUGGGCUCAACCCGGGAACUGCAGUUGAAACCGCUUGUCUUGAAUACCUGAGAGGGUGGGGGAAUACCUGGUGGAGAAGUGAAAUUCGUAGAGAUCAGGUGGAACACCGGAGGCGAAGGCGCCUGCCUGGCAGUGUAUUGACGCUGAGGUGCGAAAGUGCGGGGAGCAAACAGG